rnacentral:rRNA from 1 species
GGAGGGUGCGAGCGUUAAUCGGAAUUACUGGGCGUAAAGCGCACGCAGGCGGUUUGUUAAGCUAGAUGUGAAAGCCCCGGGCUCAACCUGGGAUGGUCAUUUAGAACUGGCAGACUAGAGUCUUGGAGAGGGGAGUGGAAUUCCAGGUGUAGCGGUGAAAUGCGUAGAUAUCUGGAGGAACAUCAGUGGCGAAGGCGACUCCCUGGCCAAAGACUGACGCUCAUGUGCGAAA